rnacentral:rRNA from 1 species
UACGUAGGGGGCAAGCGUUGUCCGGAUUUAUUGGGCGUAAAGAGCGUGUAGGCGGCUAGAUAGGUCCGUUGUGAAAACUCGAGGCUCAACCUCGAGACGUCGAUGGAAACCAUCUGGCUAGAGUCCGGAAGAGGAGAGUGGAAUUCCUGGUGUAGCGGUGAAAUGCGCAGAUAUCAGGAAGAACACCCGUGGCGAAGGCGGCUCUCUGGGACGGUACUGACGCUGAGACGCGAAAAGCGUGGGGAGCGAACAGG